CUGUAACCUUUUUAGGAAGAUUUAAAAAUAUUUUUUUAAAAACUACAAAUAAAAUAAAUUUUAAUAAUUAUUUAAAUUCAAUAAAUAUGAUAACUCAAAAAUAUUAAAUUUCAUCCAGAAAUUAAAGCGUGAAAAUUUAAAAAGUUCAAAUGGCCUUAGGGCGUGAAUAAAUAGAGGUUCACAAUACAAAUUAAACAUGAGG
rnacentral:lncRNA from 1 species